GUGUGCUAAGUGGGAAGUUAGCGGUGUCCUGUAACCUGCAAUCCGCUAUAGCAGGGCUGAAUUCCUAUCCGCGGGAUUUGAUAGCUGAGUUUUAUUUUAUGAAAGUGAUGUUGAGAGUCAAGUCUAACGCAAUCAUGCUCUGUGAAUCUUGUCAGAACCGGAAGGUAGCAGCAAUAAGCAGUUAGCCAGAUGUGCCGUUAGUAAACUUGACUUGAGUUAACUACAUAAAAGAGCUUGGAAUAGAAUCACAAGGAUAGGUGCACAC
rnacentral:SRP_RNA from 1 species